ACUCAAAUGAAUUGACGGGGACCCGCACAAGCGGUGGAGCAUGUGGUUUAAUUCGAUGGUAAGCGAAGAACCUUACCGAGGUUUGACAUCCCUGGAAAGUCCGCGAAAUCGGACCGUGCCGCAAGGAACCAGGUGACAGAUGUUGCACGGCUGUCGUCAGCUCGUGCUGUGAAGUGUACGGUUAAGUCCGUAAACGAGCGCAACCCUUGUCGUGUGUUGUAUUUUUCACACGAAACUGCCGGCGUUAAGUCGGAGGAAGGUGGGGAUGACGUCAAGUCAGCGUGGCUCUUACACCUCGGGCUACACACGUGCUACAAUGGGAAGUAACAAUGGGUUGCGAAAUCGCGAGAUGGAGCUAAUCCCACCAAACCUUCCCUCAGUUCGGAUUGAAGGCUGCAACUCGCCUUCAUGAAGUUGGAAUCGCUAGUAACCGCCGGUCAGCCAUACGGCAGUGAAUACGUUCUCGGGUCUUGCACACACCGCCCGU
rnacentral:rRNA from 1 species